rnacentral:rRNA from 1 species
UACGGAGGGAGCUAGCGUUGUUCGGAAUUACUGGGCGUAAAGCGCACGUAGGCGGCUUUGUAAGUUAGAGGUGAAAGCCCGGGGCUCAACUCCGGAACUGCCUUUAAGACUGCAUCGCUUGAAUCCAGGAGAGGUGAGUGGAAUUCCGAGUGUAGAGGUGAAAUUCGUAGAUAUUCGCAAGAACACCAGUGGCGAAGGCGGCUGUCUGGUCCGGUUCUGGACGC